AUAACAGCAACGAUGGGAACCCAGUAGCAGAUUGCCUCCCUGUGACAGAGAGCCGGCGGAAGGUGCGAGCCGGUACAAAGGCAGCUGUGAAUUACCUCCCUGAGCUUUCUUUGUGAACAGAAGUAGCAAAGGACGGGAAACCGUUAUUGGUUUAAGCGGAAGACUGAGGUCUUCAAUUAGGGUGGUACCGCGUGCAUACAGCCACGUCCCUUUU
rnacentral:ncRNA from 1 species